rnacentral:rRNA from 1 species
GACGGAGGGUGCAAGUGUUAUCCGGAAUCACUGGGCGUAAAGCGUCUGUAGGUGGUUUAAUAAGUCAACUGUUAAAUCUUGAGGCUCAACCUCAAAAUCGCAGUCGAAACUAUUAGGCUAGAGUAUAGUAGGGGUAAAGGGAAUUUCCAGUGGAGCGGUGAAAUGCGUAGAUAUCCGGAAGAACACCGAUGGCGAAGGCAACCGCCUGGGCCUGUACUGACGCUGAGGUACGAAAGCGUGGGGAGCAAACAGG